rnacentral:SRP_RNA from 1 species
GCCGGGCACGGUGGCACGUGCCUGUAGUCCCAGCUACUCGGGAGGCUGAAGUGGGAGGAUCGCUUGAGUCCAGGAGUUCUGGACUGUAGUGCGCCAUGCUGCUCGGGGGUCCGCACUAAGUUCGGCAUCAAUGUGGUGACCUCCCGGGAUCGGGGGACUACCAGGUUGCCUAAGGAGGGGUGAACUCGCCCAGGUCGGAAACGGAGCAGGUCAAAACUCCUGUGCUGAUCAGUAGUAGGAUCGCGCCUGUGAAUAGCCACUGCACUCCAGCCUGGGCAACAUAUUGAGACCCCCGUCUCU